rnacentral:rRNA from 1 species
GAGAGUGGGUAGGUCCGCACGAGCGCACCUCACUUUUAGUUGCCAUCAUUUAGUUGGGCACUCUGAAAGAACUGCCAGUGAUAAGCUGGAGGAAGGUGGGGAUGACGUCAAGUCCUCAUGGCCCUUACGUGUUGGGCUACACACGUGCUACAAUGGCAUCUACAACAGGAAGCAAAACGGCAACGUUAAGCAAAUCCCGAAAAGAUGCCUCAGUUCGGAUUGCACUCUGCAACUCGAGUGCAUGAAGCUGGAAUUACUAGUAAUCGUGGAUCAGCGUGCCACGGUGAAUGCGUUCCCGGGUCUUGUACACACCGCCCGUCACACCAUGGGAGUUGGUUCUACCUUAAGGCAAGGUUUUAAACCCUUGACCACGGUAUAGUCAGCGACUGGGGUGAAGUCGUAACAAGGUAGCCGUAGGGGAACCUGCGGCUGGAUUACCUCCUUUCU